UACAUUCGUGUGAUUUAACAAACUGGUUUCU
rnacentral:piRNA from 1 species